rnacentral:rRNA from 1 species
GGGUUGUGAGGUUAAGCGACUAAGCGUACACGGUGGAUGCCCUGGCAGUCAGAGGCGAUGAAGGGCGUGCUAAUCUGCGAUAAGCGCCGGUAAGGUGAUAUGAACCGUUAUAACCGGCGAUACCCGAAUGGGGAAACCCAGUGUGACUCGUCACACUAUCAUUAACUGAAUCCAUAGGUUAAUGAGGCGAACCGGGGGAACUGAAACAUCUAAGUACCCCGAGGAAAAGAAAUCAACCGAGAUUCCCCCAGUAGCGGCGAGCGAACGGGGAGGAGCCCAGAGCCUGAAUCAGCAUGUGUGUUAGUGGAAGCGUCUGGAAAGUCGCGCGAUACAGGGUGACAGCCCCGUACACAAAAGCGCAUGUGCUGUGAGCUCGAUGAGUAGGGCGGGACACGUGGUAUCCUGUCUGAAUAUGGGGGGACCAUCCUCCAAGGCUAAAUACUCCUGACUGACCGAUAGUGAACCAGUACCGUGAGGGAAAGGCGAAAAGAACCCCGGCGAGGGGAGUGAAAAAGAACCUGAAACCGUGUACGUACAAGCAGUGGGAGCCCCACCACUAAGCCAGUGGUGAACUCCACAUACGCAUCCUUUGCUGAGGAUACGGUUAACGGAGCGAAAGCGACGUUCAACCUCAAAAGAAGCAGAGGGGGCUUAGUGGUGGGGUGACUGCGUACCUUUUGUAUAAUGGGUCAGCGACUUAUAUUCUGUAGCAAGGUUAACCGCAUAGGGGAGCCGGAGGGAAACCGAGUCUUAAUUGGGCGUUAAGUUGCAGGGUAUAGACCCGAAACCCGGUGAUCUAGCCAUGGGCAGGUUGAAGGUUGGGUAACACUAACUGGAGGACCGAACCGACUAAUGUUGAAAAAUUAGCGGAUGACUUGUGGCUGGGGGUGAAAGGCCAAUCAAACCGGGAGAUAGCUGGUUCUCCCCGAAAGCUAUUUAGGUAGCGCCUCGUGAACUCAUCUUCGGGGGUAGAGCACUGUUUCGGCUAGGGGGCCAUCCCGGCUUACCAACCCGAUGCAAACUGCGAAUACCGGAGAAUGUUAUCACGGGAGACACACGGCGGGUGCUAACGUCCGUCGUGAAGAGGGAAACAACCCAGACCGCCAGCUAAGGUCCCAAAGUCAUGGUUAAGUGGGAAACGAUGUGGGAAGGCCCAGACAGCCAGGAUGUUGGCUUAGAAGCAGCCAUCAUUUAAAGAAAGCGUAAUAGCUCACUGGUCGAGUCGGCCUGCGCGGAAGAUGUAACGGGGCUAAACCAUGCACCGAAGCUGCGGCAGCGACACUA